GGCAGAGCAGGACAGCACAAAAUGUACUGUACCCUCCAUCCUGUGUAACUAUGUAUCAGACUCCUUUUUCUUAGAAAACCGCGAGAAUGUAACAAUUGCAUGAACCUGCCAAUAGGAAUGUAGAGAAGUAGAUUCAGUCCAAAUUAGGCAAUCUCUGUAACCCACGUCACUUCCCUAAGCCCACCCAAAUGUCCAACCCUUUAUAAUUCAUCACUCCCCCGGAGUUCUCUCUCUGGCCCCACUGCUGCGUCAGGAGGAGGCUGGGAGCCAAACCCGGGUUUGAAUAAAGACUCUUUGCUUUUGCAUCGGAGAAAAGGCUCCCUAGUGGUUGAUUAUUGGGGACCCUGAACUCUGGGCAUAACAUUUGGGGGCUCGCCCGGGGCUCCCCAAUACCCACGAGGGACCCGAUCCGAAGAGUCUGACUGCUGACUGACCGCGGAGGCCAUCCAGGCUUUCAGCUCACAAGAAAUCUCCCCCUGCGAGAGGAGAGAGGGACCCCCCAGAAGGGGCUGGAGGCUCUCCCUCUCAACAGGUUUUGCCUCUCCUGAAACAACGCUCCAUGUGUAACCUGUCCCUCCCCGAGCCGGACUGCAGGAUGAUUUUUCCUUCAACACACUGGUCCCGCCCACUGGCCUAUGGCAGAAGCCAGAAAAAGCGACGAUAAGAAAGGGAGGCCCCAUCAGGGGACUUAGAGGCAGUGUUUCUGUUAUCUGCUUAGAUCCCAAGAAUGGUCAGGAAGAAACUGAAAGCUGGAAUUCAUAACCAUUCCCUUACUCAAGUCCUUACAGGCUCUGCAGUAUACCCAGAGAGCCAC